CUUACCUGGCAGGGGAGACACCACGAUCAAGCAGAAGGUUUUCCAAGGGCAAGGUGCUUUAAUUUAUUAUUAUUAUUUUUAAAUGUUGGAUAUUAGGAAAAGUUUAUUAUCUGAAAGAGUUGUCAAGCACUGGUACACAGACUGCCCAGGGAAGAGGUAGAGUCACUGUCCCUGGAGGAAUUCAGUAAAUGUGUAGAUGCGGCACUUAGGAACAGGAUUUACUGGGCAUGGUGGUGAUGGGUUCAAAGUUGAACUUGAUGAUCUUAAGAGGUGUAUGGUAACUGUUGAGUCAUGGCCUGAACCACUGAUCAAGCACCUGGGGAAAGGACCCAAUCAGCACUGGGAGCACAGGUGAAGGCAAUUCAGCUGUGCAACCAGAAGGGGUGGAGCCUGGCUGCACCUCUCUUAGACCUCAUUUAAGGGCUGACUGCCACUGGGGAAGGGUCUCUGGUUGCAGAUCCCUCCCUUGUGGAGUUUCCCUUGUGAGCCUAGGCCUUCAGAGACAGAUUUCUGGAGAGUCACAGGCAACAUCGGGAGAUGGAACCUGGAGGACACGAAGAGAUUCUGGGGGAGGAGGGUAAGUAAAAAUAACUGUGGGACACAACCAUUUAUCUCCAGAAAACCUUAUUGACUCUAUUAAAUGUGGGAGAGAUUCCCCAAAUUAAGAUCAGUGUUGAAGAAAAGUUCACACCACGAUCUGGAAACCAAAAUGACCACCAAGAUUUUUUUCCUUUCGGAUCACUAGAAAAAACAGUGUAAGUGCCAUGUAAAUACUUUUCUGUUUUUCUGAAACUUACCAAUUGCUCGUCUGAAGUUUUCCAUUAGAACUUCUGUUUUCUUGAUUUCAGUAGAAUAGACCUCACUUCCAACCAUAGGACAAAAGGGAACUUUACUGCCAAGUUCCUGAGCAA